rnacentral:rRNA from 1 species
CCUACGGGUGGCAGCAGUGAGGAAUAUUGGUCAAUGGACGAGAGUCUGAACCAGCCAAGUCGCGUGAAGGAUGACUGCCCUAUGGGUUGUAAACUUCUUUUAUAUGGGAAUAAAACGUUCCACGUGUGGGAUUUUGUAUGUACCAUAUGAAUAAGGAUCGGCUAACUCCGUGCCAGCAGCCGCGGUAAUACGGAGGAUCCGAGCGUUAUCCGGAUUUAUUGGGUUUAAAGGGAGCGUAGGUGGAUUGUUAAGUCCGUUGUGAAAGUUUGCGGCUCAAACGUAACAUUGCAGUUGAAACUGGCAGUCUUGAGUACAGUAGAGGUGGGCGGAAUGCGUGGUGUAGCGGUGAAAUGCUUAGAUAUCACGAAGAACUCCGAUUGCGAAGGCAGUUCACUGGACUGCAACUGACACUGAGGCUCGAAAGUGUGGGUAUCAAACAGGAUUAGAUACCCGGGUAGUC